AUCUAUAUAAUAUAAAAAGUAUAUAUGACUUCCAAUCAUAAAGUCUAUAAUUAUAGUGUAGAUA
rnacentral:tRNA from 1 species